rnacentral:rRNA from 1 species
UACGUAGGGGGCUAGCGUUGUUCGGAGUUACUGGGCGUAAAGAGUGCGUAGGCGGUUUUCUAAGUUUGGUGUGAAAUCUCCCGGCUUAACUGGGAGGGUGCGCCGAAAACUGGAAGGCUUGAGUAUGGGAGAGGUAAGCGGAAUUCCUGGUGUAGCGGUGAAAUGCGUAGAUAUCAGGAGGAACACCUGCGGUGUAGACGGCUUACUGGACCAUAACUGACGCUGAGGCACGAAAGCGUGGGUAGCAAACAGG